ACUAUAUCUAGUGUUCGAGGUUCUCUCGAUUCGCAGGGAUUGAGAGCUAAGACGGGAAUACGGUGCGUCGGCGAGUUUUCGCUAGGCUAUGCCGUAGCUGCCCCCGCAACUGUAGACGGCGAGCGACUGUCCGGAAUUGGACCACUGAGGCAUGAGGCCUCGGGAAGGUCGGGAUGGAAGCUGAGACCCGUGAGCCAGGAGACCUGCCUCGAGCAACAAACGUCC
rnacentral:ncRNA from 2 species